rnacentral:lncRNA from 1 species
AAUCCUUGAUUUACUUAAUAUAUACAAUAAAAUAUAUAAGGGUAUAUUACAAUCAAACAGAUGCAUAAACGAAAAUGUCUUGCGAUUGAAUUUUCAUUUUAGUACAAAUACACAUUUCAAACACUCGAAAAUCUGGGUGUCAUAGCGAUUGAACCCGUCAAUCCAUUUGAAUGUCAGAAGAUAUAGUACACAUAUGUUUCUUACAAUACUCUACUAUUCAUACUUGACACUUUACAAGCCAUGUGUCCUUAUCCAUUAAUAA